UGGGAAGAACAGAGCCGCGAC
rnacentral:miRNA from 1 species